rnacentral:rRNA from 1 species
UACGGAGGGUGCGAGCGUUGUCCGGAAUCACUGGGCGUAAAGGGCGCGUAGGCGGCGCGAGUAGUCAACGGUGAAAGCCCGGGGCUCAACCCCGGGUCGGCCGUCGAUACUCUCGUGCUUGAGCACUGUAGAGGCAGGUGGAAUUCCGGGUGUAGCGGUGGAAUGCGUAGAGAUCCGGAAGAACACCGGUGGCGAAGGCGGCCUGCUGGGCAGUAGCUGACGCUGAGACGCGAAAGCGUGGGGAGCAAACAGG